AACGAACGCUGGCGGCAUGCAUAACACAUGCAAGUCGAACGAGUGCCUUCGGGUGCUAGUGGCGCACGGGUGCGUAACGCGUGGGAAUCUGCCCUUUGGUUCGGAAUAACAGUUGGAAACGACUGCUAAUACCGGAUGAUGACGAAAGUCCAAAGAUUUAUCGCCAGAGGAUGAGCCCGCGUAGGAUUAGCUAGUUGGUGUGGUAAAGGCGCACCAAGGCGACGAUCCUUAGCUGGUCUGAGAGGAUGAUCAGCCACACUGGGACUGAGACACGGCCCAGACUCCUACGGGAGGCAGCAGUGGGGAAUAUUGGACAAUGGGCGAAAGCCUGAUCCAGCAAUGCCGCGUGAGUGAUGAAGGCCUUAGGGUUGUAAAGCUCUUUUACCCGGGAUGAUAAUGACAGUACCGGGAGAAUAAGCUCCGGCUAACUCCGUGCCAGCAGCCGCGGUAAUACGGAGGGAGCUAGCGUUGUUCGGAAUUACUGGGCGUAAAGCGCACGUAGGCGGCUUUGUAAGUUAGAGGUGAAAGCCUGGAGCUCAACUCCAGAACUGCCUUUAAGACUGCAUCGCUUGAAUCCAGGAGAGGUGAGUGGAAUUCCGAGUGUAGAGGUGAAAUUCGUAGAUAUUCGGAAGAACACCAGUGGCGAAGGCGGCUCACUGGACUGGUAUUGACGCUGAGGUGCGAAAGCGUGGGGAGCAAACAGG
rnacentral:rRNA from 1 species